rnacentral:lncRNA from 11 species
AUUAAAUACUUCUGAACAUGACUUCUGUCAAUUAAAACUUCAUGCAUUCAAAAUAGUUAUGAGGGUCUAGUUCAGACGUCACACUGGCCCAACUAUAAAACUAUGAUUAGCAUUUGUGGCUGGCUACAGGAAGCGUGCAACUCCACUGUUGUGACAGCUCCACUGGCUGCCAACACAUUUCCAGGCAAAAGUGCUGGUUUUGACUGACAAAACUCUUCGGCUUUGGUCCAGGCUGUUUGAAGGACCGUAUCUCUUUCUAUGAACCUGUUAGACAUCUACAAUCAACAGGGGUGGGGUUUCUCUCUGUACCACCACCUGUUCAAGUGCAUUUGGUGGGAACAUUGGAGAGGACCUUUUCAGUGUCUGCUCCCAGAUUUUGGAAGUCCCUCCCAAGAGAGACUAGGAGGGCCCCAUUCGCAAACAGGCCGUAAAAACCGAGAUGUUCAAGCCACAACAGAUCAAGAUCCUCCAGUGCAAAAGAAUGAACAAAAUGGCUUUUUGAGAUCUUUUCUGCCUCCUAUGUAUUUAAAGAUGUGCACAAUGGACCAUUUCUUUACUGAGCCACAUAAUCCAAAUUAAAGUUCAAUGCAGGCUGAGAGUGUCUCUCAAGUCCCUUGACUAUUCACAUGGUCAGGUUAACUGGGGCUGCCAUCACAUCACCAGCAGCUCCCUGCCUGAGGUUUACUGUUUGCUCUGGUGUGACAUCACCAGAUAUGUGACAUCACCAGCUAACUUCUGACAGAGGGCUGGUAGUAGUGUAUCCACUGGAGAUGUGGACGGGCUCUAUUAACCCAUAUUAACAGCUGGGUGCAGUGGCUCUGUUUCAAACAUGCAGCAUGUGGAGUGGUUAGUCCAUUUUUUUUUACCAUGAAGACACAGCCAUGGUUUUCCAUUUCUGAUACAAUGCUGUAGAUUUCUGUCUAUUUCAUUGUCUGUGUUUAAACAACUAUCAUUCUGAUGAAAUAUGUAUUAAAGAACUAUAGUAAACACACAAAAAACACAAAGGGUGCCUCUA